rnacentral:sRNA from 1 species
GAAUGAAUCAUAGAAAAAGGAAGUCCUGAUUGCACAAGACUUCCCGCGUAGAGCCGUAUAAGACGGUGACAAUUUAACUGAUUAAAAA